rnacentral:rRNA from 1 species
GAGUUUGAUCAUGGCUCAGGAUGAACGCUGGCGGCGUGCUUAACACAUGCAAGUCGAACGGAGCGCCGGACACGGACUAUUUCGGUAGGAAGCGUGCGGAGGCUUAGUGGCGGACGGGUGAGUAACGCGUGGAUAACCUGCCGCAUACCGGGGGGAUAACAGCUGGAAACAGCUGCUAAAUACCGCAUAUGCCCGCAGUGCUGCAUAGCACAGCGGGGAAAACUCCGGUGGUAUGCGAUGGUCCGCGUCUGAUUAGGCAGUUGGCGGGGUAACGGCCCACCAAACCGACGAUCAGUAGCCGGCCUGAGAGGGCGGACGGCCACACUGGGACUGAGACACGGUCCAGACUCCUGCGGGAGGCAGCAGUGGGGAAUAUUGCACAAUGGGGGAAACCCUGAUGCAGCGACGCCGCGUGAAGG